UCCAAAAUCUCUGUUUAGUAUUCGCUGGGCUUUAACUUCAGUACCUCUUGUAGGGCAGAUUUUCCCAAGCUCAAACUUCUUUUUCUUUCCUUUUCUAGGCUGCCAAACACUUUCCCAAGAUGAGUGGACAAGUUUUAAUGAAGAGACCUAAGGCUUUUAGGGUAAGGAAUCAAAGAUUGGGAGGUAUAAAAAAAUAAAAGCUAUGGAGGAAGAGGUUCACGUCCAAAUGAAGAAGAAGAACCAGAAAAUUGGUUUCUUCAUUUGUCAUUUUUCUCUUUUUAAAGAGUCUUUGUUGUGUUGUUGAAUGGUGAUUAGUGGAGGGCACUUAAAUGACAUCAUGGUGAUGUCAUAAUUAAGCCUUUAAAUCAUUUUCUUUUUCUUUCUUUUAUAUUCAUUUUUAAUUUAAUUUUUAGCA
rnacentral:misc_RNA from 1 species